rnacentral:rRNA from 1 species
GAUGAACGCUGGCGGCGUGCCUAAUACAUGCAAGUCGAGCGAACGGACGAGAAGCUUGCUUCUCUGAUGUUAGCGGCGGACGGGUGAGUAACACGUGGAUAACCUACCUAUAAGACUGGGAUAACUUCGGGAAACCGGAGCUAAUACCGGAUAAUAUUUUGAACCGCAUGGUUCAAAAGUGAAAGACGGUCUUGCUGUCACUUAUAGAUGGAUCCGCGCUGCAUUAGCUAGUUGGUAAGGUAACGGCUUACCAAGGCAACGAUGCAUAGCCGACCUGAGAGGGUGAUCGGCCGCACUGGAACUGAGACACGGUCCAGACUCCUACGGGAGGCAGCAGUAGGGAAUCUUCCGCAAUGGGCGAAAGCCUGACGGAGCAACGCCGCGUGAGUGAUGAAGGUCUUCGGAUCGUAAAACUCUGUUAUUAGGGAAGAACAUAAGUGUAAGUAACUGUGCACAUCUUGACGGUACCUAAUCAGAAAGCCACGGCUAACUACGUG